CUCACGUGCCCAAGGAACACAGAAGGAAAGGUUUCAAAGUUCAUCGUGAAGGUUUCUGCUUCCCUCCCAGCAGCCACGCGCAUGAAAGCUAAAAGCAGACAGCCAUCACAGUUACAUAUUCCAGAUGACCUAUGAAGAACCCUAAGAAAAAAGCAAGAGGAAAUAUUUUGCUCAGUGGAGCCACUUAGGACAUCUUCAGCACCAGUGCUUCCUGGAAGAUUUGGAC
rnacentral:lncRNA from 1 species